AGCGAACGCUGGCGGCAGGCCUAACACAUGCAAGUCGAACGAACUCUUCGGAGUUAGUGGCGGACGGGUGAGUAACACGUGGGAACGUGCCUUUAGGUUCGGAAUAACUCAGGGAAACUUGUGCUAAUACCGAAUGUGCCCUUCGGGGGAAAGAUUUAUCGCCUUUAGAGCGGCCCGCGUCUGAUUAGCUAGUUGGUGAGGUAAAGGCUCACCAAGGCGACGAUCAGUAGCUGGUCUGAGAGGAUGAUCAGCCACAUUGGGACUGAGACACGGCCCAAACUCCUACGGUAGGCAGCAGUGGGGAAUCUUGCGCAAUGGGCGAAAGCCUGACGCAGCCAUGCCGCGUGAAUGAUGAAGGUCUUAGGAUUGUAAAAUUCUUUCACCGGGGACGAUAAUGACGGUACCCGGAGAAGAAGCCCCGGCUAACUUCGUG
rnacentral:rRNA from 1 species